rnacentral:lncRNA from 1 species
GUGCUUGUUAGGAAAAUACCAAGUUCUAUAAAACAUUUAGAUAAUUUUAUAUUUUAACUACAUUUGUAAAGACCAUAGCACUAUCACUGCAGCUGAUACAUACUAUUAUACUGACACAAUCUCUCUAUCUUAAGCAAAAGAAGAUAGACACUAUCCCAUUCCCUGUACAUUAAGAAGAGCAAAUUGGUAAAUAUUGAUUAUAAUUUAAAAAUAUACACAGACAGAAAUGGUUCAGUAUGAUUUUCAAAGAAAAGCAAGAAAUAAUCAACAUAUCUAUGAAAUAUUGUCAAUAGUAUAGCAUUGUGUAUUAAGAACACACAUUUCCUUAUUUUCUAUUAAAUUAUUCUCAUUGAAUUCCUUUGAAGUGGGAUAGAUUCUAGGAGAAGCAUGUAUAUGGUGAAAAUUCUUCAAAGUUCAACCUUUAAGCUUGUUAAAUUCAAUGAAAUUCAUAUAAGACAAAAUCCUGCUAUUAUUAAUCAACUUUGGUGGGGAACUUCUUUAGAUAAGGUGUUCAGAAAACAUCUGUAGGAUAAGAUAUUUGAUCUAAAACCUGUAGGACUAUGGAGUCAAUCAUGGGACUAAUCAAAGGAUAAAUAUCCCAGGCUGGGGAGACCAAAAUAAAAGUCAUAAGAUGUCAUAGAGUUGAGAUGUUCUAAGAACAGAAAGACACCUAGUAUAACCUGAAUAAGUGGAAAAAGGUGAGUUACUUGGAAGAAAUAACAAGAAUGUAGUCAGGAGUCUUAGCAUGGAAGCUCAUGUGUACCAUUUUGAGGGAUUUUUUUUUUUUUUGAGGGAUUUGGUUUUAUAAUAAGUACAAUAUGUUGUAGGCAGAAAGGGACAGAAUGCUCAAUCUGGCUUCCAGGAAAAAAACAAAACAAAACAAAAAAAAAACAACCUCAUAUCCCAAGAUACUUCUUCCAUUUUAUCAACCAAUGGGUUUAAUAUCACACUUCUUAUUAAAAUAAAAAAUACCCAAAAGGGGCUUCAUUUUACUUUUCAAAUGUUUGGAUUAUGGCACAAAAUGAAGCUCUAAACUGUAAAACAUUUGAACAAAGACUGCAAAUGGAAUUAACAGAGUAGUUGUUAAGAGGCAGCCAAUGUUCAAUAACACUAUCAUGUCAAGUCUAACCUGCCAAUUGGAUAUUUAUACAGAUCAGUAGACUCCAUUGGAAAGUUAUUCAAUUCAGUAUAUUUUUUUAAUGCAUGAUAUUGUACCUGAUGCUCUGAGGGAUACUAAGAUGAAUAUGACAGUUCUCAUUGUCAUAAAUCUCAUAGAUUUAGAGACCAAUGUGAGGAAACAAUGAGACCAAACAUUGAUAAUAGUGGACCUGAAGAUCAAGACAUUUUCUGUUCUCACUCCCAAUUUCUAUCUCUGGUACUAAUUCAUUAUAGGAUUUUGAUCAGAAAUGACAUCUGCCCUUAAGCAAACUCUUCAGGAUAAGUUUCUUUACCAAAUGUUAAUUUUAAAGCAACUAGAGGUUAAGAGAUCCCCUCAUGAUUCAGAAGUCAAUAUUUGGACUUUUGGUUUCAGCUUAAGUGCUUGAGGUAGACUUUCUAACAGACUUUCCCUUUGUUGCAAUUAUUUUCUCCUCAAUGAAAAUUUUCUUAAGUAUCUGAAAAAAAAAUACUCUAACAGCUCUGUGAUACGUAUUUUACCACUUCACUCCUUCCUAAGUAUGUUGGAGUAAUAAAAUGUAUGCAUAUAAUUCUUAUGCCAUUACAAUUUGUCAUUUGGUGUUGAGUGGAUUCAAAUAGUUUUUAAACUCAAAUUUAUACUAAAUUUCCUGCAUUAAAUAAAAAUUAAUUCUUUAGAAAAUAUAGACAUUUAACUAACUAAAUAGUAAUGUGGCUUAUUCAAGCAAAACACACACAUUAGUUCACACACACAUGAUUCUAUGUUCACUAAUUCCAGCCAGUAUAAUCAUGCAAAGAACAUGCACAAGUUUGAAGAGCAAAAAGAAAUAAUCUAAAAAAAAAGUAAUUACUGUGUUUGGAGGGUGGGAUUAAACUGUGUGAUUUAUUUUUUCCCUUAAAAAUAUUAUUAAUGUUAAAACAUUUUGUUUAUUUUUUAAAGGUUUUAUGUAUUUAUUCAUGAGAGACCCAGAGAGAGAGGCAGAGACAUAGGCAGAGGGAGAAGCAGGCUUCCUGCAGGGGAGCCCAAUGCAGGACUCGAUCCCAGGACCCCAGGAUCACAUGCUGAGCCAAAGGCACAUUCUUUCACUGAACCAUCCAGGCAACCCAAAUUUAAAACUUUUUAUAAAAAAAUUUUUAAAAUGUCAUUUCUCUUCAGGAAGACCAUAUUAGACCAUUCUUUUUAUUACGAUAUGCUAGCUUAGUUAGAAUACCCAUAUUUGUUUAAACUGAAAAUAUUAUAUUUUACUGUAUCUAUUGCAUGGAUGUCUUAAGAAUAUAAAUGUCUACCAUUACAAUUCAAAUUUAUAAAGUGAAUUUUUCCAAAUUUCCAAAUUACAAUUCAAAUUUAUAAAGUGAAUUUUCCCAAAUUUCCAAAUAAUUACCAGGAGAUAUCUUAUUAAAAAGGCAAUGCCCAGUGGUUGUAUUUGUAACAGCAUAAUAUUUCUUUGUAUAAAUGAAAAAUCUGGCAAAUUAUUACUAAACAUAACACUUAGGGAUUGGUUCUAUCAUUUUAAUGACAAGAUACCAAAUUUUAGGCACUAAUCAGCACAGUUAAUUUGCUGGAUCACAAAUUUCAAUAAAAGAAAUUAGUAACUUUUACAUGUAGCCCUCUCUUGCUUUAAAAAAAUGCUUCUGAAUAGAAUAGGAAAAGAAGUUCUAUACUAUUCUUGCACCCAUGUCAUAUAUCAGUGCAGAAAUCUGGAAGCUAAUGGUAUAUCUAAUGGCACAUAAAUACGCAAUGAAGAAUACACACACACAUAUACGCAUACACUCUUCAGACUCUUGUUGCUUUUCUUCAUAUUCUUUAAGACAUAAUUUCUCCAUUAUUUACUUUUAGAAUAAAUACAGAUGCCAUCCCUUUGUUUUCAGUCACCAAUGUGACUUCCUUCUUCCCAGCCUCAGGAAAAUAGGACAUUAAGUCUUGGAAUGAUUGAUAUGUUUGUUCCUAUAUCAUUUUCUGCUAGGAAUUCCCUUUCUUCUAUUUCCUAUCCAUACCUAAAACUCUACUCAAGUAUACAUAUUUUUCUUUUAUAAGGUAUUCUCAAAAAUUCUAGUAAACUCUACUAUCUCUUUUAUUCUGAUGCAUGGCUUGAACUCACACUCUUUUGCCUAUUAUUUAACAUUAUUGAGCACCCACUAUGGGCAAACUACUAAUGCUAAAACUGGGAACACUAAGGCAAAUACGAUACAGUCAUGAUACGUCCAGGAGUUGUGGAAUCAAUUAGAUAGACUGCUAUUGUAAAAACACUCAGGUUCUGGAUUUAUUUAGUCAGCAAAAAUUUAUUCAGCACCACACUGUGCCAGACUCUGAUUUAUACACUGUAGAUGCUUAUUGUAUAUAAAGACACAAUUUCUGCCUUCAUAAAGAUUAUAAUCUAGCUUCAGAUCCAGUCCUGGUUCCACCACUGAAGGACUUUGGGAAGAUGUAUCUAAUUUUGUCCAUUAAAACCAUCACUGUAAUUACACCUUCAAAAAUUGCUGUGAGAAUAAAAUAAUAAAGGCAACUAUUUAAAAUGCUAAAUUGGCAAUUUUUUAAAAAUCAUUUUUGGUGUUUCCUUCUAAUUUUUAAGUAACUGAAUCUUACUUCUCCAAAAAGAUAGCAAACUUUUUGAAUGAAAAACUUGUGAAUGAAAAACUUCAUAUACUUCUUGGUAAGCACCAUAAUGCUUUGAGUCAUAUAGUAAUUUGCCCAAAAGGUAUUGUUGAAUCUAACGUGCUUGACCAAAGUAUAAAAAGGUAAAUAUUUCUCCCUCAUUUCCUUCAUAAACAUGUGCUGAGUGACUAAUAGCCACUCAGUAGAAAAGAUCAAAAUAAUUGGGAUUUUUCUUUUUUAUGGCUCAUGCACUAUAAAAAUGAUGAGAAAGAUACAAGUGAUAAAUGGCUAAUUGAUCCCAACAGAUAUAUUAAUACCUUGAUGAUAAUGAUUCUAGUUUAAACCAGACAUUCAUCUCUGGUCCAUAGCAAGCAAAUCUGACUAAAAGAUACUUCUAAAACUUGAGAAAUCCUUACAUAAUGGCCCAUCAGCACCUAAGGAUAUAAUUAUGAAAUCUCUUUGGCUUUUGUUUUGUUCUAAGAUUCAGUAGAAGCUAUAAAAAGAUUGGGUCACAUGAUUAUUUUCCUACAUAAGAGAAAAAUAUAUUUUAUCAUUUAAUCUAACUCAUAUUACAAAUAUAUUAUUUUCAUUAUUUGCUUAAUAGAACCUCAACUAAAAUUAGUUGGAGCUAAUUUGCAUUUUGUGGAAAGAAGAAGCAAUCUAUCUGAGUCUUCUAUUGACUGUUCAAAAUGAUUAAAUAGAUCUCCAAAAAUAAAAUCUAUUGGCAAUUGACCAGCGACUCUAAACACUUGCAUGCAAAUCAUUUAAUUACCCUAAGAGUCACAUUCUUCUUGUGGUACCAUAUUCUAGACUCAGCUUAAUAUAUGUUACAGGCAGAGCAAACAAAAUAGCAAUACUUUUGUUCUAAUCUUGAUUCCUUCUCUGUACCUUCCUUUUUCAUUCCUGUAAACUUGCUGUCCUUGUUCAUCAUAAAGAUGACAGUCAAGGUCUUUAGCAUUUCACAAUAUGCUUGAGAGCUUGGUUAAGUAUAUUUCCUGUUCAUUCAUUUACCAAAUGUUUGCAAAUCCACAAUAUGUACCAAACAUUGUUUUAGAUAAUAAGGAUAGAGCAUUGGACAAGAUGGACUGAGCCUUGGCACUGAUGGAACUUACAUUCUUACAUACACAAAGAGGAUGUAAACGUGCAAUGAAUAAAG